GUAGGGAAUUUUCGUCAAUGGGGGAAACCCUGAACGAGCAAUGCCGCGUGAGUGAGGAAAGUCUUCGGAUUGUAAAGCUCUGUUGCCGGUAAAAAAGGGGGAGAACAGGAAAUGGUUUUCUCUUAGAUGGUCACCGGCCAGAAAGUCACGGCUAACUACGUGCCAGCAGCCGCGGUAAUACGUAGGUGGCAAGCGUUAUCCGGAAUGAUUGGGCGUAAAGGGUGAGCAGGCGGUUAUUCAAGUCAUGAGUGAAAGGCAGAAGCUUAACUUCUGCUGGCUGAUGAUACUGGAAAACUCGAGUACAGGAGAGGGCGGCGGAACUCCAUGUGUAGCGGUAAAAUGCGUAGAUAUAUGGAAGAACACCAGUGGCGAAGGCGGCCGCCUGGACUGUAACUGACGCUGAGGCACGAAAGCGUGGGGAGCAAAUAGGA
rnacentral:rRNA from 1 species